UCAAGGACUCUGCUGCAGAGGAAAGUGGCAUUCUGACACACAUGGGGGAGCAGGUACCUGAACACCAGCUGUCUGAUGCAAUGAAAAUGGAGGCAAGUGGGGGCCUCCUUCCCUGUGUGGGGCCAGACACUGGUCUGGCCAGCAGCGAAGAGACCGGUCCAAAUGAGCCCCACAGCAGAAACUCUGUGGUAAUUUGCCAAGCAGUUGGCCGAAGUAUCUUCACUUCCAGAGUCUCCACAGCAGCUGAGAGAGUUGGCUUCAUGCUGCAACAAGAGGAGGAGAAUGAUGCAAGCUGCCCGCUGUUAUUUAUACAGCUCAACGAGCUGCUCAACACAUCAGAGGGCCUGGAGUGGAAGCAGACUGCCAGAUGGAUUAAGUUUGAGGAGAAAGUGGAAGAUGGGGGCGAGAAGUGGAGCAAACCUCAUGUCACAACCCUUUCCUUACACAGUCUGUUUGAACUAAGAACAUGCAUAAAGAAAGGGACUGUCCUCCUGGAUUUAGAUGCUCACAGCUUUAAGCAAAUAGUUGAGCAGGUGAUUGCUGUUCAGAUUGAGGAGCACACCCUGAGACCAGAGCUGAGGAAGAAGCUUACACGUGUGCUGCUCCGCAGACCCCAGCACCACACCACAAAGUCUGAGCUGAGGACAGUGGCUGAACUCACUGUUGCCUCCUGCAGAGGAAGAGGUAGUAACUUGACAAAUCCAGGAGCUGAUAUCUCAGAAACACCCCUUAAAGAACAGCUAAAAAAUCCAUUCAAGAAGAAGAUCCCAGCUGGGGCUGAAGUGUCGAACAUUCUUGCUGGAGAAGUCAACUUUCUAGAUAAGCCAUUUAUUGCCUUCAUCCGACUGAAGGAGGCAGUGGGACUUGGGGCCUUGACUGAGGUAGCUUUCCCAAGCAGGUUCCUUUUCAUCCUCCUGGGCCCCAGAGCCAAAGUGAAAGCUUACCAUGAGAUUGGAAGGGCCAUGGCCACAUUACUCACGGAUGAGCUCUUCCAGAGAGUUGCUCAUUGGGCUCAGGACAGAGAAGACCUCAUUGCAGGAAUUGAUGAGUUUCUGGAUGAGCUGACAGUGUUGCCUCCAGGCAAAUGGGACCCAACCAUCCGAAUCCCUCCACCAAAAUGCCUGCCCUCUCCACAUAAAAGGAUAUCUAUGCACUUACGGGAAUGGAAAUCUCACUGCAAUGGGAACCUAUGUGCCACUGAGGACAGACAUGCCCGUGGGCACCAGCAUGUCAGUGAAGAGCUGAAGAGAACAGGGAGGUUAUUUGGAGGACUGGUAAAGGACAUCCGAAGAAAGGCCCCUUGGUACUGGAGUGAUUUCUAUGAUGCACUGAACAUCCAGUGCUUUUCAGCUAUUCUCUAUAUCUACCUGGCGACUGUUACCAAUGCAAUUACUUUUGGUGGCAUGCUGGGAGAUGCUACAGAUAACAUGCAGGGGGUGCUGGAGAGUUUCCUGGGUACUGCCAUUGCUGGAGCUACCUUUUGCCUCUUUGCUGGCCAGCCCUUGACCAUCCUGAGUAGCACUGGUCCUGUCCUAGUAUUUGAAAGACUCCUCUUCUCUUUUAGCAAAGACUACAGUCUGAACUAUUUGGAAUUUCGCCUCUGGAUUGGCCUCUGGGUGGCAUUUUUUGGCCUGAUUCUGGUAGCUACUGAAGCAAGUUACCUGGUGCAGUAUUUUACCCGCUUCACUGAGGAAGGCUUCUGUGCCCUCAUCAGCCUCAUAUUCAUCUAUGAUUCUGUGAAGAAAAUGCUGAGCCUGGCUGAUUACUUCCCUAUCAACUGGAAUUUCAGGAUCAAUGACAUCACCCACUACAACUGCAUCUGCAAUUUAUCUGGCACAGGCAACUCCUCCAUAUUGAAUAAGACACUGCUUCCAGACCCUGACAGCCUUGGGGAGUACUGGGCUCUGGAGCCUGCAAACAGGUCCCAGCUGACCAAGAAGGAAUGUUUGCAACUAGGGGGCCACCUGGUGGGCACCAGUUGUAACUAUGUGCCUGACAUCACAUUUAUGUCCUUUGUCUUGUUCCUGGGGACGUUCCUCUGCUCCAUGACCCUCAAGCACUUUAAAUUGAGCCGCUAUUUCCCCACAGCUCUGAGGAAGCUGGUGAGUGACUUCUCCAUCAUCCUGGCCAUUCUCAUCUUCUGUGGAAUUGAUGCUUGUCUUGGAUUAGAGACUCCCAAGCUCAUUGUCCCCAUUGAGUUCAAGCCCACCAACCCACAACGAGGCUGGGUUGUUUAUCCUUUUGGAGUGAACCCCUGGUGGAUGUGCCUGGUGUCAGCAGUUCCUGCCAUUCUAGUAAUCAUCCUCAUCUUCAUGGACCAGCAAAUCACAGCUGUCAUCCUCAACCGCAAAGAGUACAAGCUGCAGAAAGGGGCAGGCUUUCAUCUAGAUUUGUUCUGUGUUUCCCUGCUGAUGAUCCUCACAUCUAUGAUGGGCCUUCCCUGGUAUGUGUCUGCCACUGUCAUCUCCCUGGCUCACAUGGACAGCCUGAAGAAGGAGAGCAUAACUUCUGCUCCAGGAGAACAGCCUAAGUUCCUUGGAAUCAGAGAGCAGAGGCUGACUGGUUUGGUGGUCUUUAUCCUCACAGGAACAUCUGUUUUUUUGGCACCUAUUCUCAAGUAUAUUCCUAUGCCUGUGUUGUAUGGUGUCUUUCUGUACAUGGGUGUGGCUGCUCUUAGCAGUAUCCAGUUCAUGGACAGAAUGCAGCUCCUUCUUAUGCCAGCUAAGCACCAGCCUGACUUAAUUUACCUUCGUCAUGUGCCCCUGCGCCGAGUCCACCUCUUUACCUUCAUCCAGAUGCUCUGUCUGGCCGUGCUCUGGGUCCUCAAGUCAACUGUGGCUGCCAUUAUUUUUCCAGUGAUGCUGCUGGCUCUAGUGGGGAUACGGAAGGCAAUGGAGUACAUCUUCUCCCUGCAUGACCUCAGCUGGCUGGAUGACAUCAUGCCUGAAACAGACAGGAAGGAGGAAGACGGAAAAUUGCCAAGAAGUCCAGAGGCAGAGGAGAGUGACAGUGAGGAGUCUGAAUUAAUGUACCUCGAAAAAGGACCAGAAAUCAAUAUCUCUGUGAAUUAGAAGAAGUGAGGCUCACCGGUGGGACACAGUGAAAGGGAAUAUUUUCUGAUGGUUUUGCAUAUGCAGGAAGAAGGCAGCUUGCAUUCUAGGAGAAGGUCUCCAGAGCUCUACUGACAUCCCAGGUAUUGAGCCCAGCUGGUGCACAGGUGGUUUAUAGGAAACGUGCAACACAUGGAAUGAAUGUACCAGGAUAUUCAAUUUUAUGAACAAAACAGACAGGUAGUCUGUCUUUUGCACUCACUCUUUUAUAUCUCAUGAUGCUGGAGAAGACAGCAGCAUUUCCAAAUAUUUCUCUUCAUUGUCUCUAACUGGAUACCAUUAGCUAAACCCUGUUUGCCACUGGGUGGCCCAGAGAAUCUAACAAUGUAUGAAAUAGGUGUCCUGUCUAUUAAACUGAUACUCCUCUGUCAUCUCAAUCCCUUGGUUGUAAAUUCUCUAGCCUCAUUCAAUUAAAAUGAAACCAUGCUUUCUAAACUGAUUCACUCAUUCCCAUCGUAUUGUGCAUGCAGGGGAAUAAGUGUUAGUGCCAGGAACAAUCUUCUCAGUGCAAGUCAUGCCAAACAUUGUAAGUCUCUUACUGAUUCAGAAAUAGUCUUGGGCACAAUAUGCUGUCUUGGAGCAUCUACAGUGCUAGAGGGUCCAGUUUCUCAAAGAAAAUAAAGGAGGGAGGUUGAACUCAUGCUCAUCUACAACUCAUGAAAAUCUUUCUAUCCAGUGUUUACAGCUUCAGACAGCACUAAGGCAUAUCUCAAGGGAAAGCCUUUGGAUCCUACCUUUCAGGAAAGAAAUCUUAUAACAUCUGUAACUCAGCACAGACAUAUUCCAUGGUCAAUAGAAGUGGCCAAAGUUAUAGAAUUUUACACCCUGGACUGUGGCUUCUUCCUCUCUGAUAGGGAUGGUGUGCUCAUGAACACGAUAGGUUGCAGUAAAGAUGCUGGGAUGUGAUGGAAUAUGGCAUGCUGGGAGCAAUAAUUUACAUGACUGUGUUAAAAACAAAAAAUUUGCAGCUUGCUCUGUUUUAUGCUGACCAAAGGCUAAGGAUAUUUUUACAGCAGGGGUGACCAACCUGUGGCAUGGGCAGCCUCUGCGUGAGGCAAAUGAUGGAUCAAGGAGGGGACAGCCUGCAAGCAGAUAGGGUAGGAAACAGAAAGAAGAGCAGCAGAUCCAGCAGAGGAAGGGGAUUGGA